AACUUUACUGAUCGCAGUCGGCCUUGUGUCGGCGACGGAUCUUUCAAAUGUCUGCCCUAUCAAUUUUCGAUGGUAGGUGACCUGCCUACCAUGGUGAUAACGGGUAACGGGGAAUCAGGGUUCGAUUCCGGAGAGGGAGCCUGAGAAACGGCUACCACUUCCAAGGAAGGCAGCAGGCGCGCAAAUUACCCAAUCCCGGCACGGGGAGGUAGUGACGAAAAAUACGGAUACGGGACUCUCUAGAGGCUCCGUAAUUCGAAUGAGUACAUUUUAAAUCCUUUAACGAGGAUCAACUGGAGGGCAAGUCUGGUGCCAGCAGCCGCGGUAACUCCAGCUCCAGAAGCGUAUAUUAAAGUUGUUGCAGUUAAAAAGCUCGUAGUUGGAUCUGGGUCGCAUGGCUACAUGCCGUUGCUCGCAUUCCUGGCCUAGUUCACACUGGGACGGGUUUGUGAGUCGGUGUCGUGGUUGUGCAGCCUUUCUGCCGUGUCUGUUUCGACAGGUGUUGGCACGAUUGGUGGGUUCGUCCUGCUGAUCUGUUGACAUGCUUCCGGAUGCCCUUAACCGGGUGUCCGGGGCGGACGGCACGUUUACUUUGAACAAAUUUGAGUGCUCAAAGCAGGCCAGUGUGCCUGAAAAUUCUUGCAUGGAAUAAUGGAAUAGGACUUCGGUUCUAUUUUGUUGGUUUUCGGAUCCGAAGUAAUGGUUAAAAGGGACAGACGGGGGCAUUUGUAUGGCGGUGUUAGAGGUGAAAUUCUUGGAUCGCCGCCAGACAAACUACAGCGAAAGCAUUUGCCAAGGAUGUUUUCAUUGAUCUGGAGCGAAAGUCAGAGGUUCGAAGACGAUCAGAUACCGUCCUAGUUCUGACCAUAAACGAUGCCAACUGACGAUCCGUGGUGGCGCGACUUUAGGCCCCACGGGCA
rnacentral:rRNA from 1 species